rnacentral:lncRNA from 14 species
AUUCUCUCAAGCAUAACUAAAUGUAUCAAUGUCAGUCAGCUUUGUCUGUGAUAGAGUGAAAAGCUUUACAUCAUGUACAAUGCUUAUUUAAGUGCAUCCACAGCCUGUCACUAAAUUGACCACACCCAGGCAUAAUGAAAAGUGCCAGUCUCAGCACCUGUCUCUCCUUUGAAACUUGGAGCUGGUCUUAUUAAGGGUAAUGAGGUGCAGCUGUUCUGGCAGUGUUACCUUCACCCAGUCAUGUGCUCAGAAGCUUUGUGAGUGCAUGUGGUUGCUUUUGGCUUAGUGUGAAAGUGUAGCCCAUGUGGAUGUUUUGGAGGUGAGGAGGUCUGUGAAAGGAGCCUAGGAAAGGGUUGCAGAAGUGCUUCUAAUGUGGUAAAUUGAAAAUUUCCUUCUGCAUUGCUAAGACAGCUUCUUUUCCCUUUUAGGCAAGGCAGCAGAAGUGGACUGAGAACCAAGUCAUUUUUUCAGGAGUAAGAGGGACUUGCCACAGAGUACCUGCAACACUGAGAGUGAAGGUCAGAUGACUUCCAGUUUGGACAACUGGAGGAUGAGGACCUCAGGACAUGCUGAACACCUUUAAUGAAGAAACAUGUUCCUAGCAGAGGAGAAUGCUGGAGUAAAUAGAACCAAAGUAAACAAAAUAUUUGCAGGUCACCAUGUUGGUUCUGUUAUUAAAGAAAAUAUGGCCCAGAAGCAUUCCAGACAGAUUCGCUGCAAUCCGUGUCUGGACAUUUCAACUUCAUCUGAAUAUCAAGUGGCACUGAAUCAGAUAAAGAAGCAUUACCAAUCUAUUUGGAAGAUUCCUGCUGCUUCCCAAAGUGUCUUAAAGGAAAAGGUUCAUCAAAGACUGGAAGCAACCAAGAACAGGCCCUGCUGUUGGAAGGAGAUAACUCAAAUUCUGUGCACGCACACUGAAACUGAUCUUUCACUGUCACAUCUCUGUGGUACACAAGAAGGAAAUAAACCACCAGGAAACAGUAACAUUGACUUUCAGAAGAGAAAAUGCAGCACGAAGCCAUAAGGCUUUUGCUAGGAUUGGAUAAGCUUGGACCUAGAGAUGUGUGAAGCUCACAGCUUCAGUUUACCUAUGCUUCAGCAAAUUUUGCCAGCAGGCUGCUUUGCUUUGCUUGAUUUCCCACCAAUAAACUUGAGACUUAUGUGUGCUGGAAAAUCA